rnacentral:rRNA from 1 species
AUUGAACGCUGGCGGAAUGCUUUACACAUGCAAGUCGAACGGCAGCACGGGGGCAACCCUGGUGGCGAGUGGCGAACGGGUGAGUAAUACAUCGGAACGUGCCCAGUCGUGGGGGAUAACGUAGCGAAAGUUACGCUAAUACCGCAUACGAUCUACGGAUGAAAGCGGGGGACCGUAAGGCCUCGCGCGAUUGGAGCGGCCGAUGUCAGAUUAGGUAGUUGGUGAGGUAAAGGCUCACCAAGCCGACGAUCUGUAGCUGGUCUGAGAGGACGACAAGCCAAACUGGGACUGAGACACGGCCCAGACUCCUUCGGGAGGCAGCAGUGGGGAAUUUUGGACAAUGGGCGCAAGCCUGAUCCAGCCAUUCCGCGUGCAGGACGAAGGCCUUCGGGUUGUAAACUGCUUUUGUACGGAACGAAAAGGCUCUGGUUAAUACCUGGGGCUCAUGACGGUACCGUAAGAAUAAGCACCGGCUAACUACGUGCCAGCAGCCGCCGUAA